CACUCGAGCGCCUCCUUAAUCUCCCAUAUGGUAGUGGAGGGGCUCAGGCGCAGGGCCAGGCUGACCCCUGACAGCUGCUUGACCAUCACUUGCAUGGGUGUCGGUACCUGCACAUCCCAGCAGCAGAUGGCGGCAAGGCCGUUCCUACAGCACAGCUGGUCCCGGCACUUGGCGGCUUCUCUCGCCAGCAGGUCCCAGUUCUUUCCCUGCCCCAAGGUUCCCGUCGGGUCGGCUGGAUCCAGGAUCACGGGGCUG